AGUCGGGGGUAUUCGGUAGGGGAUGCCGGAGGUGGCGGCGUACAGGGGGGCGGCAGGCUGGUGGUGCGUCAGAGCCUGCAGUGAGCCCGGCAGUGAGGCGAAACGUUGGACUCCGCGCGGGAGUCUCGUGGCCGCCCGCCUUUUCUUUUAAGUCGGGGUGCCUUUUUCCUUACACCCACCCCCGGCCCUCUUUUCGUCGCCCUCGCAGAUCUACGGACCCAUCGUCGCUCUAUUUUCAAAGCACGCGAAUACCUCGCUCCGACUCAUCGCCGUGAUCGUUUCGCGUACGAUCUCGUCACGAUGGCAGUGGUUCGGUCGAGGCGAGCAACGGGCAUCGUCGCAACUAAUCGGCAGUAAACUCGCGCGGAAAUGUCGAUCCGAGUCGAGAGGCGGAGGAAGAUCGAAAUCGAGCUUGUGCGUGGCUACGUAUCUUCGUCGUGGAGAACAACGACCGUGCGGCUGGCUUCGGGCCAACACAAAUCUAGCUAAAGGGUGAACGUGAAAACCAGGUGGAAGUGGAAGGUGGAAAAACAGAAGGCAGAGAAAGGGAAGACAGACAGGAAGUAAGGAAAGAAGACCGAAGCUGCUGACGGAGACGUUUCGUAGUGAAAUAUUCGUGCUUUUGAUUAUAUUCUCGUGUGCGGUGCAAGAUGCGCUCGCGACGCCGUGACGGCGGCUGAAGGACGAAGAAACCGAGUGGCUCGUACAGCAGCCCUCGAUUCCAUCUGCCGACUCUCUGUUUCUUUUCGUUUUCCACGUCAACGAGACGCCGCACCACUCAGUAUUCUUCCUCGCUUCGUCGCUUAUCUGUUCGGCUUCACCGAUUCGCCGCUCGACAAAGCGAAGACCAGGGAAAAGAGGUGAAAAAAAAAACCUGAGGCGACACGGAGCCACGAAGUAACGUAGGAUUGGAAAAGGAAGGGAGGCGGAAGGGAAGAGGGAACGAGGCGAAGCCGAGAGCUAGCAAGUGGAAAAAGAGAAGAAAAGGAGUGAAACACGAAGGAAGGUAUCGUCGGAGGAAAGCUACACCAAUAGCAGAAGCAAUCGAAUAGAGAAACGACUAGGUGGUUCGACAACGAGCUUUUUCGUUCGUGGAAUGUGGAUCAGGCAAAUGUGGUGCGGGGCCGAAAAAGCCUUGUGAAGAAACUAAGGAUUAG
rnacentral:misc_RNA from 1 species